CUCUCCACACCGCAGCCGAGUCAUUGGCUGAGAACUGCUGCGUGAGUUUGUCAGAGUAUGCGGCCUUAGCUUUCUUCAGCUCCCUCUGAAACCGAUACUUCAUCUCUUUGUAGCAGCUCCUGUCCCCACUCUUGCGAGCUGCCUCCUUCUCCCGUCUAAUCUGGCUGAGUUUAGUUGUGAACCAAGGUUUGUCAUUUGCAUAACUCACCUUGGUGUGCGUUGGAACUAUGCACUCUUCACAGUAGCUGAUCCAUGAAGUCACAGUGUCUGUAUACUCAUCCAGAUUAUUGGUCGCAGCCCUGAACACCUCCCAGUCUGUGGUCUCCAUGCAAGACUGCAGCUCCUCUUUAGCUUCACUUGUCCAGAUCUUCAUGCUCCUCACAACAGGCUUUGCCAGCUUCAGCUUCUGCUUGUAUGUAGGAACAAGAUGAACCAUCAAGUGGUCAGAGAGUCCCAGUGCAGCUCGAGGGAGGGCGGUAUAAGAGUUGCGGAGCGAUGAGUAACAGUGAUCCAAUCCAGCACGCUCUGCUCUCUGGUGGGACAUUUUACAACCUGCCUGUACCUGGGAAGCUCCUCACUCAGAUUUGCCUUGUUGAAGUCUCCAAGCACAAUCACAGGAGAUUGUGAUCUCAUAAAGAUCACAAAGAUCAUAAAGAUCUCAUAAAGGCAAUACAAUGCAAGAUUGUUCAGUGCCUUAAAACUAUUACAUACAGAAAUAUCACAUGCAGCUGUAAAUGAUUUUAUUUGUACUUUCUUAAUAUUUUAGUGAAUGUUCAUUGCAGUAUGUAUUUUUGCCUGAAGACGUAGUGGGCACAUCUGAUGAAUGCAGCCAUAUGGUUGGCGAUGACGGGUAUUACCCAGUGAAACGGGUAGUAAAAACAAAAAAACAAAAGGGGAAAAUAAUGGAACUAAUCGAGUGGGAGCCCUGCUCCAUGUGUGGAAAGAUAUUCCAACUUGAGCGGGUACGGAUGGAAGAAACCAAAAAAAACCAAUUUGUAAAUAAUAAUAAAUACAUCUGCAAAAGUGUGAUCUUGAUGUUGUUGUUGCAAUUCAUGCAUGC